ensembl:lncRNA
AUACAUAAUAAAGGAAGGUUAGCCAGAUAAGCAUCAAUCUGAUAAGACAGGAUGAAGGUACAGAAGAGCUACGCUAGCAUCAGGUGAAGGUGAGAGGCGACAGUAGCUCAGAACGGGUUGACUAUUCACCGGGAGGAUGCUAGUUGGAUCCCUGGAGUGUCGAGGUGUCCCUGAGCAAGACACCUGAGCCUGACUGUUCCUGACGAGCUGGCUGUCGCCUUGCGUGGUCGACUCUGCCUUCGGUGUGUGAGUGUGUGAAUAAAUGGUUGUAAGUCACUUUGGAUGAAAGCGUCAGCAGAAUCCCCUAAAUGUAAAAUGGGAACAGAUGAGCAACGUUAGCUUCCAGGUGAAUGUGAAUGUGAAGGUACAGGUGAUCUCCAGGUGACCUGCAUUAGCAUCAGGUGAAUGUGAAGGUACAGGUGAUCUCCAGGUGA